AUUUGUAUGACAUGGCAUUCACCAAUGCAGUCAGAUGAAAAUGUGGCUCAAACUAUUGAUGGAUGCCCCCCGCUCUUUUACUUGUACCCUUGUUUGUUUCUUAAUAACUCUGUACUUAUGUGUAUCAAUCUGACUAUUGUUUUUCUUCAUUUCUUCUUUCGUAGAGAAUUGGAGCGUGUCCUUGCAGCCAUUGCAUGUCAAUGCAGUCGAAAUAUAGUAGGCAAUCAAGAUGCAUUUUAGUGUAUGUUUCUUUUCUGAUAUCUGGAAUAUAUGUUCAGAUUAUAGUAACUGAAAUAUAUGUUAGCUGCAAUUUGCUAAAGGGUGAUAUGCUUAUGAUCUUAUGGAUGGAAGCCCUAGAGUUCAAUUACCAGGACUUUUUUCACAAGAGUUAGGAUCAGCUGGCCCCGAGUGCAAAGAACUUCAAGAAACAACAAAGAGUUGUUGAUGGAUAAUUCAGCCGGCUUGCUUCUCUGUUUGCCAAUUGUUUGGAGCUACGAGGUGUCCUAAAUCUCUAGUGCAAAAACUAUAGCACUGGAUGUGUUGCCCUUCAGAGGUGGUGCCGGAAGGAUCAGGGGCGAAGCCAACAUAGAGAAGGAGGCAAUUGUGAUCGCAGCUGAGGGAAGCAAAAGCACGUGGAGGGGCAUUCCUCAGCCUACUGUAUCUUUGUUUGAAGAGAUUAACGACUGGCAAAGACUAAGUCUCCUCUGGUGUGCAUCAAUCAAGGGUUACAUGUAGUUCUACUUUAUGCCCAGCCCGGCAAGGUAGCGGGUAUAUAUGGAAGAAGCUAUGUUGUUAAUCUGUUAUAUCGUGAUUUAAGACCAGCAAAUGGUUAGAAUAUUAACCCUCGGUUAGCAUGGUAUCCAAUAUGCCUAGAUUGAUAUAAAUUGUUGCCUAGAUUGAUAUAAGUUGUUACAUUCACAGGCUAUCUUCAUGCAAACAGAGUUAGGCAUUAACUGAUGCAAGCUGGCUCUUCCAGAUGGCAUCUAAUCUGUUUUCAGUGGUGGAAAAAAUAUGUCUUCACAACUAUAUUGAGCCUUGAGCGUGUUCUGUAGACUGUAGUCCUUUCUUCAAAAAAAUUUAAAGCUAGAUGUGACACUGGAUGGUCUGAAUUAUCGGCUGUCUAGGUUUUUUCUGUCCUGAGAAUAGAUCGCAAACUGUACCUGCAUAUUUAAUAAUUUUUGUGCACAUUAUGUUUUGCUUCCAAGCCCGGGUAAAGGAGGAGGGUUGUGAUAAGCUU